UGAACGCUGGCGGCGUGCUUAACACAUGCAAGUCGAACGGUAGGUUUUAAGCGGUAAGUUUCGGAUGGAAGUUAAGAACUUAGUGGCGGACGGGUGAGUAACGCGUGGGUAACCUGCCUCAUACAGGGGGGAUAACAGUUAGAAAUGACUGCUAAGACCGCAUAAUAUAGCGAAACCGCAUGAUUUUGCUAUCAAAUAUUUAUAGGUAUGAGAUGGGCCCGCGUCUGAUUAGCUAGUUGGUGGGGUAAAAGCCUACCAAGGCGACGAUCAGUAGCCGGCUUGAGAGAGUGACCGGCCACAUUGGGACUGAGACACGGCCCAAACUCCUACGGGAGGCAGCAGUGGGGAAUAUUGGACAAUGGGGGAAACCCUGAUCCAGCGAACCGCCGCGUGAGUGAAGAAGUAUUUCGGUAUGUAAAGCUCUAUCAGCAGGGAAGAUAAUGACAGUACCUGACUAAGAAGCCCCGGCUAACUACGUGCCAGCCGCAGC
rnacentral:rRNA from 1 species